UGGGGAAUAUUGGACAAUGGGCGCAAGCCUGAUCCAGCCAUGCCGCGUGAGUGAUGAAGGCCCUAGGGUUGUAAAGCUCUUUCACCGGUGAAGAUAAUGACGGUAACCGGAGAAGAAGCCCCGGCUAACUUCGUGCCAGCAGCCGCGGUAAUACGAAGGGGGCUAGCGUUGUUCGGAUUUACUGGGCGUAAAGCGCACGUAGGCGGACUAUUAAGUCAGGGGUGAAAUCCCGGGGCUCAACCCCGGAACUGCCUUUGAUACUGGUAGUCUUGAGUUCGAGAGUGGUGAGUGGAAUUCCCGGUGUAGAGGUGAAAUUCGUAGAUAUUCGGAGGAACACCAUUGCCGAAGGCUGCUCACUGGCUCGAUACUGACGCUGAUGUGCGAAAGCGUGGGGAGCAAACAGG
rnacentral:rRNA from 1 species